GACGAACCGUGCGAACGUUAUUCGGAUUGAUUGGGCUUAAAGGGCGCAUAGGCGGGCGACCAAGUCUGCGGGUGAAAGCCCCCGGCUCAACCGGGGAGUGCCCGGGAUACUGGCCGCCUGGAGGUGGGGAGAGGCGUCUGGAACUGCCGGUGGAGCGGUGAAAUGCGUAGAGAUCGGCAGGAACUCCGGAGGCGAAAGCAAGGCGCUGGACCUAUCCUGACGCUGAGGCGCGAAAGCCAGGGGAGCAAACGGGAUUAGAUACCCCGGUAGUCCUGGCCCUAAACGAUGAGAACUAGGCGGGGGGGUAGACAUGGCCGUCCCCGCUGAAGCCAAAGUGCAAGUUCUCCGCCUGGGGAGUACGGCCGCAAGGCUGAA
rnacentral:rRNA from 1 species